UACGAAGGGGGCUAGCGUUGUUCGGAAUUACUGGGGCGUAAAGGGCGCGUAGGCGGUGUGUCAAGUCAGGCGUGAAAGCCCCGGGCUCAACCUGGGAACCGCGCUUGAGACUGGCACGCUAGAGUUCGGGAGAGGAUGGUGGGAAUUCCCAGUGUAGAGGUGAAAUUCGUAGAUAUUGGGAAGAACACCGGAUGGCGAAGGCAGCCAUCUGGACCCGACACUGACGCUGAGGCGCGAAA
rnacentral:rRNA from 1 species